AUGGGAAGGGAGGAGUCGCAGAUGGACUGCGCGAAGGCUCUAUCCCAAAAAAGGACUGGCUGCGCCCCAGAACGAGGACGCGGAGCUUCCCUGUUCCAAGCAGGAGCAGACUGAGAAAAUCCAAGAAAGGAGGCCCGAGGGGCUGCGGUGGUCCCAUCCUCCUGGCACCCGCGGCCCGGGCUCUGCGACGCCCUUCGCCCCACCCGCGGAAGCAGCGAUGCCUGGCGGAGCCUGGGCGCUGGCGACCGCGCUGAUGCUUCUGGCCCCGGGGGAAGCUCAGGAGUGCUCUCCUGGGGGACACCAGUUUCUUCGGAGUCCUUAUAGAAGUGUCCAUUUUGACUCAUGGCACCUCCAGCAGUCAGCUGUUCAAGACCUAAUAUGUGACCACUCCCUCACCCCUGGAUGGUAUAGAUUUCUCAUCUUUGACAGACCUGCCGAGAUGCCAACCAAAUGUGUUGAGACGAACCAUUGUGGAACUCAGGCCCCCGUCUGGCUGUCUCUGAGAGAUUCAGAAACACUGCCAUCUCCUGGGGAGAUCAAGCAAUUGACAGCUUGUGCAACAUGGCAGUUUUUGUUUAGCACUACAAAAGACUGCUGUCUCUUUCAAAUCCCCGUGUCUGUAAGAAACUGUGGGAACUUUUUUGUAUACUUACUACAACCAACUCAGGGAUGUAUGGGCUAUUGUGCGGAAGCUAUUUCUGAUGCACAAUUACACCCAUGUGGUUCUGAUGAAACUGAAAUAGGAGGUGAUUGUGUUCGUCAGCUGGCUGCCUCAUUGCCACCUCCACCCGCAGGAAGGCCAGAGGUUCUGGUGGAGUUGAUUGAGUCCAGGCUUUUCUGUAGGUGUUCUUUUGAUGUUCCCCCUACAAACAACUCAGUGGGAUUUCACAUAGCUUGGUCUAGGCUUUCUUCUCAAGAAGUCAAAGAGGAGCUGAAACAAGAGACCACAGUUCAGGCAUUCUCUCUUUUAGAACUUGAUGGCAUAAAUCUCAGACUUGGAGACAGGAUAUUCUGCAGCGCUUCUGUCUUUUUCUUGGAGAAUCCUCAUGUACAAAGUGUAGCGAUUGAAAGCCAAGAAUUUUUUGCAGGCAUUAAGCUACAGCCUGAAUUGAGCACUAUAUCAGAGGAUGGGAAAGAAUACUACCUGAAGAUAGAAAGUACAGUUCCUAUUAUUUGUUCUGAAUUUAGUGAGCUUGGUCAAGAAUGCAAAAUCUCAUUAAAACUGAAAACUAUUGAUCAAGGUAGAGAGCACCUAGGCUUAAAUUUGGCACUGUCUUCCUGUCAUGUGGACCUUCUCCAGACAUCUUCCUGUGCUAAUGGAACCUGUAGCCACACUUUUGUGUACUACACUGCUGUCACAGAUUUUUCUCGAGAUGGAGAUAGAGUUACAAACAUUGUAGUGCAACCAAUAGUUAAUGAGGAUUUCCUGUGGAACAACUACAUUCCAGACAGCAUCCAGAUCAAAGUAAAGGAUGUCCCAACUGCUUACUGCUAUUCAUUUACUGACCCACAUAUAAUUACAUUUGAUGGCAGGGUAUAUGAUAAUUUCAAGACUGGAACAUUUGUGCUUUAUAAGAGUAUGUCACGUGAUUUUGAAGUCCAUGUACGUCAAUGGGACUGCGGAAGCCUUCACUAUCCAGUGUCAUGUAACUGUGGGUUUGUUGCCCAGGAAGGAGGUGAUAUAGUUACUUUUGAUAUGUGCAAUGGUCAGCUACGUGAAUCACAACCAUAUUUAUUUGUAAAAAGCCAAGAUGUAACCAGGAAUAUCAAGAUAAGUGAAUCUUACUUAGGAAGAAAAGUCACAAUCUGGUUUUCUUCUGGGGCAUUCAUCCGUGCUGAUCUUGGUGAAUGGGGCAUGAGUCUAACGAUCAGAGCCCCUAGUGUAGAUUACAGAAACACUCUGGGACUUUGUGGAACCUUUGACGAAAAUCCAGAAAAUGAUUUCCAUGACAAAAAUGGGAUCCAAAUUGAUCAAAAUUUUAACAAUUAUGUUGCUUUUAUUAAUGAAUGGAGGAUUUUACCAGGAAAAAGCAUGUUUGACACACUGCCAAUUUCUAUGACGUCACCUGGAAAGCCAUCCUACUGUAGCUGUUCAUUGGACACUGCAGCGUAUCCGUCUUCCGAUGAUCUGGACAGUGUUUCUCAAUCAGAAAUUGCCUUGGGUUGCAAAGACAUCAGUCAUGUCAGCUUAUCUUCUUUGAUACCAGCACUAGAUGUCACCUCUGAAUAUAUUAAUUCAGACACUCUUUUCAGAGAGAUAAACAAGCAUACAUCUCCAGAAGAAUAUAAUCUAAAUUUCUUUCCACAAGAAAAAAAACACAUAAACCUGACUAAACGAGGCUUAAAUGUACAAAAACAUCCUGGAAAUGAGAAACAAGAUGCACUAAAAUAUUUGGACAAUAAGAAAUAUACACAAGGCCGGGGAAGCCACAGCCAAGAAAUGAGGUACAAUCGACAAAACAGAUGGAAACGGCAAAACUUUUAUGAGUUUCUUCCUUUGUUUGCUUUCCCGAGUCUCAGCCAAACGGAUCUGGAAGAACUUACUUAUUUUUUCCCAGAGGACCAUGCUGAGGAUGUACAGCAAGAGUUUUUCCCCUCUUGGCCCACACCCUCUGGCAUCACUGAGUAUAGCACCUUGACCCUCUGUCAGCAGACUCUAGCCAACUCCAGCAUAGGAAGGCUCUGUCUUGCUUUUCUUGGCAAGAGAGUAGACAGUGUUAUAGAUAUGUGUGUGAAGGAUGUUCUGUUAAAAGAUGAUCUUAGCUGGGCAGAAGCAGGUGUGGCUCUUUUAGAAAAUGAAUGUGAAAAGAGGAUUGUGGAGGAGGGGAAAUAUAACACAGAAGAGUAUGGCACAUCAAUUGAAGACAUUCUCUUAGUAUUAAAAUGCCCCAAUUUAUGCAGCGGCAAUGGGCAGUGUAUGGAAUGGGGGUGUGCAUGUUCCCCAAGCUUUAGUUCCUAUGAUUGCAGUGAUUCCCAUGACAAAGCUCCUGAAAUUACAGAGCUUGGGAAUGCUGGAUUCUGUGAUGUUCAAAAAUAUAAUUGUAUGAUGGUGAGAGUUUUUGGCAGAGGCUUCAAAGAAUUACCUUCAAUUAAAUGUGAAGUUACUAAGCUACAGUAUAAUAGCAGUGAAUGGAUGCCUGGAGAACCCAUCUAUACACAGACUAUUUUCCAAAAUAGCAGAGCUGUUGAUUGUCAGCUGCCCACUGAUGUUCAGCAGUUUGAUACCAUGGAUCUGGUGGGUGGGAAACCAACUGGGAAGUGGCAGUUGAAGGUAUCUAAUGAUGGUUAUAAAUUCAGUAAUCCCAAAAUAAUGGUCAUAUAUGAUGGUGCUUGCCAAGUUUGUGGUCUCUAUAAAAAUGACUCAUGUACUAUAAAGGAAAAUGUUUGCAUUAUUGAGGGACUCUGCUAUGUUGAAGGAGACAAAAAUCCAACCAGCCCUUGUUUGAUCUGUAGACCUCAAAUUUCAAGAUUUACUUGGUCAUUUUUAGAAAACAACCAGCCCCCAGUGAUUCAAGCAUUGCAAGACAAAUUACAGACAUUUUAUGGUGAAAACUUUGAGUAUCAGUUCAUGGCCUUCGAUCCAGAAGGUUCUGACAUCCAUUUUACGCUGGACUCUGGUCCUGAAGGGGCAAGUGUUUCCUCUGCAGGGCUUUUUAUGUGGAAAACAGAGUUACUAACUCCCCAACAAUUUACUCUACGCCUUAAUGAUGACUGCGAUGCUGAAACUAGAGUCAUGAUUGAGGUGACUGUGAAGUCUUGUGAUUGCUUGAAUGGUGGAUCAUGUGUGUCUGAUAGGAACUUUUCUCCUGGGAGUGGAGUGUAUCUGUGUGUCUGCUUGCCUGGCUUCCAUGGCAGCCUUUGUGAAGUGGACAUUAGUGGGUGCCAAUCCAACCCUUGUGGUCUUGGCAGCUGUAUUAGUGGUUUUCACAGUUAUUCCUGUGAUUGUCCACCUGAGCUCAAAGGCAAAAAUUGCCAGGAAGAUGUUGAUGAGUGUGACUCCAAGCCUUGCUUUGAGGGAGUAGAAUGCCUGAAUACCUUUGGUUCCUAUCAUUGUGGUUCAUGUCCAAAAGGAUUUUAUGGGGAUGGAAAAAUAUGCCAUGGUAAGAGUUCCUAUUUUCUGCUAUGAGAUUGUUUAUGCUGCAUUUGAUUAUUUUUAAUAGCAUAAUUUCUGUUUUUGACUCAUGUAUUUAUUCAGUGUAAAUGCAUUAAGUGUCAUGCAUUGAACUAGAUACAAAGGAUGCAAAAAUAUUUAAGACGUGUUCUCUGACUUAAUAGGUAGAGUGUAACAGCAGGGAAUAUGACUAGUAGUUACAGAGUACAAUGAAGUGUUCUGUGUCUUUUGAUAGAAAUCACAAAAGGGCUAGUAGGAAUACUACACAGGGAAUCUUAUCUACCUGGAGAAAUAAUGAAAAACUUUUAAAAAAGGAAGUGACUAGACUAUACUAGACACAUGAGAACUGAAUCUGAUAGAUCAAGAGAGAGAAAGGCAUUCCAGGCAAAACCAACAGCAGGAGCAAAGGGACAGAAGCAGGUAACAUCACAGCACUCCUUGGGCAGCCACAGUGAAUAGUUCAGCGUGCCUGGAAUAUAGGAAGAAAGGGGAGCUGCUACAAGAGUUGGAGUUAGAGAGUUGAAACACAGUUUUUAAAUAAAUUUACUACACAAACUGUGGUUCUCACAAGAUCUGAUAAAAGUGUAAAUAAGGAAGAGGAUGAUAAAAAUGACCAAGGGAGAAAGAGGCAUGUUAAGCCAACAAGCGGAAAUGCCCUCACCAUUUGUAGAUAUCCAUGUGGGAAAAGUAGGGAGUGUGUUGCCCCAAACAUCUGCAAAUGUAAACCUGGUUACAUUGGUUCUAACUGCCAAACUGCUGUUUGUGACCCUGAUUGUAAAAACCAUGGAAAAUGUAUUAAGCCUAACAUUUGUCAAUGUCUUCCAGGACAUGGCGGAGCAACCUGUGAUGAAGAACAUUGUAACCCACCUUGUCAACAUGGUGGCACAUGCUUGGCUGGGAAUCUCUGCACUUGUCCUUAUGGUUUUGUAGGACCAAGGUGUGAAACAAUGGUUUGUAACAGGCACUGUGAAAAUGGAGGCCAGUGUCUUACACCAGAUAUUUGCCAGUGCAAACCUGGCUGGUAUGGACCCACCUGUAGUACAGCUUUGUGUGACCCUGUUUGCCUCAAUGGUGGUUCGUGUAACAAGCCAAACACUUGCCUCUGUCCAGAUGGAUUCUUUGGGGAACAGUGUCAGAAUGCUUUCUGUCACCCUCCCUGUAAGAAUGGUGGCCACUGCAUGAGAAAUAAUGUGUGCGUCUGUCGUGAAGGAUACACUGGUAGGAGAUGCCAAAAAAGCAUCUGUGAUCCUAUGUGCAUGAAUGGAGGAAAAUGUGUGGGACCAAGCACUUGCUCUUGUCCUUCUGGUUGGAGUGGGAAACGAUGCAACACACCUAUCUGCUUGCAGAAAUGUAAAAACGGUGGUGAAUGCAUUGUGCCCAGCAUAUGCCAUUGUCCUUCCUCCUGGGAAGGAGUGCAGUGUCAAAUACCAAUUUGCAACCCAAAAUGUCUUUAUGGAGGCAGAUGCAUAUUUCCCAAUGUGUGUUCCUGCCGCACAGAAUACUCUGGAGUCAAAUGUGAGAAGAAAAUACAGAUAAGACGCCAUUGAGUAGCAUCGAGUAUAUGAAUUACAAGCCUGUAUCUUAAGAACGGAAAUGUUUUGUUCAGAAAAAGUUGGGGAUAACUUGAAGUUUAUUUGAACAUCAUUCAAAAAAUAUCUUAAAGGCUGAAGAAACUAAUAAAGUACAUAAUGAUCUCAGUUGUAAUCAUUAGAGAAAAGCAGAGAAGAAAUCCAGGUAAUCUAAAUUUGAUGCUGAGAUGGGAUAGGAUAUUUACAUAUUGAGAUGACGUAUCUGAUAUUCCAUCCAUUCACAAUAUUUAAUAAACUGAAUAUUUUCUCAGCCCUAA